rnacentral:rRNA from 1 species
GCUCGACCUCAAAUCAGGUAGGACUACCCGCUGAACUUAAGCAUAUCAAUAAGCGGAGGAAAAGAAACCAACCGGGAUUGCCUCAGUAACGGCGAGUGAAGCGGCAAAAGCUCAAAUUUGAAAUCUGGCGUCUUUUGGCGUCCGAGUUGUAAUUUGAAGAACGGUUCCUGCGUUUGCGCACUUGUCUAUGUUCCUUGGAACAGGACGUCAGAGAGGGUGAGAAUCCCGUUCGAUGGGUGCGCGUUCGCUUGUGGAGCCAGUUCGACGAGUCGAGUUGUUUGGAAAA